CAAUAGCGUAUAUUAAAGUUGUUGCGGUUAAAAGCUCGUAGUUGGAUUUCUGCUUGGGACGACCGGUCCGCCCUCUGGGCGAGUAUCUGGCUCGGCCCGGGCAUCCGCUUGUGGAACGUUUCUGCAAUUAAGUUUGUGGAGCGGAACACAAGCCCUUCACUUUGAGGAAAUUAGAGUGUUUCAAGCAGGCUUUUGCCUUGAAUACGCUAGCAUGGAAUGAUAAGAUAGGACCUCGUCCCUACCUUGUUGGUUCGUAGAGAUGAGGUAAUGAUUAAUAGGGAUAGUCGGGGGCGAUUCGUACUUAACUGUCAGAGGUGAAAUUACUUGGUAUUUGUUUAAAGAACGGACUACUGCGAAAGACAUUUGUCCAACGGAAGUGUUUUCUAUUGUAUCAAGAAACGAAAGUUAAGGGGUAGUCGAAGACGAUCAGAUACCA
rnacentral:rRNA from 1 species